rnacentral:rRNA from 1 species
CAGUCGCCGCGGGAAUACAGAGGGUGCGAGCGUUAAUCGGAUUUACUGGGCGUAAAGCGUGCGCAGGCGGUUAUAUAAGACAGAUGUGAAAUCCCCGGGCUCAACCUGGGAACUGCAUUUGUGACUGUAUAGCUAGAGUACGGCAGAGGGGGAUGGAAUUCCGCGUGUAGCAGUGAAAUGCGUAGAUAUGCGGAGGAACACCGAUGGCGAAGGCAAUCCCCUGGGCCUGUACUGACGCUCAUGCACGAAAGCGUGGGGAGCAAACAGGAUUAGAUACCCCAGUAGUCCCUGUCUCUUAUAC